AAUAUUGGUCAAUUGAGGCGACUCUGAACCAGCCAUGCCGCGUGCAGGAUGACGGUCCUUUGGGUUGUAAACUGUUUUUGUACCGGAAGAAAAAGAGCUACGUGGAGCUUUUUGACGGUAUCGUAAGAAUAAGGGUCGGGUAACUCCGUGACAGCAGCCGCGGUAAUACGGAGGAUCCAAGCGUUAUCCGGAAUCAUUGGGUUUAAAGGGUCCGUAGGCGGCCUUAUAAGUCAGCGGUGAAAGUUUUUGGCUUAACCAAAAAAUUGCCGUUGAUACUGUAGGGCUUGAAUUUUUGUGAAGUAACUAGAAUAUGUAGUGUAGCGGUGAAAUGCUUAGAUAUUACAUGGAAUACCAAUUGCGAAGGCAGGUUACUAACAAACGAUUGACGCUGAUGGACGAAAGCGUGGGUAGCGAACAG
rnacentral:rRNA from 1 species